rnacentral:rRNA from 1 species
CGGGAAACUGGGAAUAAUGCCUUAUAAGAUACGUUUGUCGCAUGGCAUUUGUAUUAAACGCUCCGGCGCCAUAGGAUGGACCCGCGUCCCAUUAGCUAGUUGGUGAGAUAACAGCUCACCAAGGCCACGAUGGGUAACCGGUCUGAGAGGGCGAACGGUCACACUGGAACUGAGACACGGUCCAGACUCCUACGGGAGGCAGCAGUGGGGAAUAUUGCGCAAUGGGGGCAACCCUGACGCAGCAAUACCGCGUGAGUGAAGAAGGUUUUCGGAUCGUAAAGCUCUGUUAUUGGGGAAGAAAAAAAGACGGUACCCAAGAAGAAAGUUCCGGCUAACUACGUGCCAGCAGCCGCGGUAAUACGUAGGGAACAAGCGUUGUCCGGAUUUACUGGGCGUAAAGGGCACGCAGGCGGUUUUUUAAGUCAGAUGUGAAAGGCCACAGCUCAACUGUGGACAUGCAUUUGAAACUGAAAGACUUGAGUAUUGGAGAGGCAAGUGGAAUUCCUAGUGUAGCGGUGAAAUGCGUAGAUAUUAGGAGGAACACCGGUGGCGAAGGCAGCUUGCUGGACAAAUACUGACG